AAUAGAUACCCAGGUAGUCCACGCCGUAAACGAUGAGUGCUAAGUGUUAGGGGGUUUCCGCCCCUUAGUGCUGCAGCUAACGCAUUAAGCACUCCGCCUGGGGAGUACGGUCGCAAGACUGAAACUCAAAGGAAUUGACGGGGGCCCGCACAAGCGGUGGAGCAUGUGGUUUAAUUCGAAGCAACGCGAAGAACCUUACCAGGUCUUGACAUCCCAUUGACCACUAUAGAGACAUAGUUUUCCCUUCGGGGACAACGGUGACAGGUGGUGCAUGGUUGUCGUCAGCUCGUGUCGUGAGAUGUUGGGUUAAGUCCCGCAACGAGCGCAACCCUUGUUCUUAGUUGCCAUCAUUUAGUUGGGCACUCUAAGGAGACUGCCGGUGACAAACCGGAGGAAGGUGGGGAUGACGUCAAAUCAUCAUGCCCCUUAUGACCUGGGCUACACACGUGCUACAAUGGACGGUACAAACGGUUGCCAACCCGCGAGGGGAGCUAAUCCGAUAAAACCGUUCUCAGUUCGGAUUGUAGGCUGCAACUCGCCUACA
rnacentral:rRNA from 1 species